AGGACGAACGCUGGCGGCGUGCCUAACACAUGCAAGUCGAACGGAGUCAGAAAGCUUGCUUUUGACUUAGUGGCGGACGGGUGAGUAACGCGUGAGUAACCUGCCUCUGAGAGGGGAAUAACGUUCUGAAAAGAACGCUAAUACCGCAUAACGUAUCGAAGCCGCACGACUUUGAUACCAAAGAUUUUUAUCGCUCGGAGAUGGACUCGCGUCCGAUUAGUUAGUUGGUGAGGUAACGGCUCACCAAGACCGCGAUCGGUAGCCGGACUGAGAGGUUGAUCGGCCACAUUGGGACUGAGACACGGCCCAGACUCCUACGGGAGGCAGCAGUGGGGGAUAUUGCGCAAUGGGGGCAACCCCGAACCGCAGCAACGCCGCGUGAAGGAUGAAGGUUUUCGGAUUGUAAACUUCUUUUAUCAGGGACGAAGCUUGACGGUACCUGAUGAAUAAGCUCCGGCUAACUACGUGCCAGCCGCGGC
rnacentral:rRNA from 1 species